rnacentral:lncRNA from 10 species
UCUCAAUUGGGAAGACAAGGACCUAUGGUAACAGCUCCAUAAUUAUGAGUAACGCUUAAGUCAAGAAAAACACCAAUCCUUAUUCUUCCCCACUAUUUGAAGGGAACCAACAAAACAAUCCUUAAAUUAUUCAUCAUCAUUACUUCCACCUGUGAUCAAUUAUCAAUGAAUUAAAACAUAUCUAAGGUUUGCUCAUUCGUAUUGCCUACCAGGAUUGGUGAAAUGUAGGGAAAGAACAAAGAAGGUCACUAGUCUAACAUUCUAGGAUGGGAGCUGGCAAACUUUUUCUGUAAAGGACCAGAGAGUAAAUAUUUUAGGCUUUGUGAACCAAAAGGUAAAAUUGAGGAUACCAUAAACAGCACUAGCAGCCAUGAUACAACCCUCUUAUGAUGACAGUGCUGCUCAAAUGUCUUCUGAGAGGAAGUUCUGUUGCUAUACCAAACAACCGUACUUAUCUCCUGAGGCAGUUACAGGAAGCACAGACAACUGACAAAUGUCAACCAAGUACACCUUUUCACAGGCCAUGCAAUACAAGUAACUUUUGUUCACUAACAUCAGAUGACAGAUUAAAUAGAAAUAUGGCUAAUAGAAUUAUUUUCCUUACUGGAUAAUUAAGAUCACACAAAAUAAUGUUUGUUAAAGUGCCUUAUAACUCUAAUCCUCAUUAAAAAC